UACAGAGGGUGCAAGCGUUAAUCGGACUUACUGGGCGUAAAGGGCGCGUAGGUGGUUAUAUAAGUCAGUUGUGAAAGGCCUGGGCUUAACCGAGGAAUUGCAAUUGAAACUGUGUGACUAGAGUUGAGUAGAGGGGAGCGGAAUUUCCGGUGUAGCGGUGAAAUGCGUAGAUAUCGGAAGGAACACCAGUUGCGAAGGCGGCUCUCUGGACUCAAACUGACGCUGAGGCGCGAAAGCGUGGGUAGCGAAC
rnacentral:rRNA from 1 species